rnacentral:rRNA from 1 species
CAUCAGUGGCGAAAGCGGUUAUCUGGAUUAUUUAUGACACUGAGAUACGAAAGCAUGGGGAGCAAACAGGAUUAGAUACCCUGGUAGUCCAUGCCGUAAACGAUGAGAGUUAAUUGUUAGAUUUUUUUUAAUUUAGUGAUUGAGUUAACGCAUUAAACUCUCCGCCUGGGAAGUACGAUCGCCAGAU